rnacentral:lncRNA from 1 species
AAACAACAAAAAAAUGAUCCCUAUAUAUUUAUAUAGGCACCUACAUGUAGAUAAAUACAUUUCCUUUGAAGCUUAAAUAAACUGUGUUUGAGUCUGAAUGUACAACUGUUAUUGUUAAUAGUUUUUAGUUACUUCAGUGAGGAGCACAGCCGUGGUCGACGGCUCCAACCACCCUGAGCAAAGCUGAUUGCUCAGGUCUGCCCACUCAUAGCAGCUGCAGUUGAUCAGUAAAUGGGGUGGUUGGCUCUAGUUGGGUAUUUGUUUCUUACAGGUUUGUUCCAAGUAGGGCUUUUCUUUAGGGAGUUGUUUCUAGCUCCAAAAUUUGCUGGAGAUAGUAACCAUCAGGACACUUAGCAAAGUGCUGCUUUAUGGUUUCUUUCAUUCAAUGAAAGCUUUAAUAUAAACCUUUUUUUUUCUGGUGAAAGAGGAUCGAGCAUACUUAACAUCUCCCCUCAUGCAGACAGAAUUUAAUUUCUGCCUCAGCGUGUCAGGAUGCACCAGGCUGCUGUGAGAGGAGGCUCUGUGUUCCAGUUAAUUUUACUAAAAUGUUAGUAUGCAAAUGUUUCCUCGUUCUUUAUGCUGUAACUGCUAUGUGUAACCUUGGAUCAGUCACCUACUCAAAAUGCUUAACUUUCAUGAUGGAUGCUUCCCCCCCCUCACAUUAAUAGCCAGCAUGUUUAGCUUCACUAGACUAUUACCUUGCCACCCAGGUGUGCCAGUUGUCUCUUGGGUUAUUUGAGCACGUGCACAGGGAGGUGAACUACACAGGUGACAUCACAGCCUCUGUACAUUUGCUGGUGCCCUUUAUUACCUCAUAAUGCUUAUGCCAAGCUACUCAUUGACUUCAGCUGGGAGAUGAGUGCUAUGGAGCACAUCUGUGAGGUGCUGGGGAAAGCAGUGCUGCUGGCUGCCUGCCUCUGUAGGGAGAAGAAAGAAGGGGCUUUUGUUUCUCUGAAGUGGAUGAGGUUACUAAUGGAGAGAGAGCUGCUGCAGCAGAUGCAGCAGGAGCCUACCUUGCAAUUUGAACGUGAAAGAAGAGCAGCCUGUGGAUUCUGCUGUAAGUAA